CACUGCCUGCCCAGUGAUACAAAUUCAACGGCUACGGUAUCUUGACCGUACAAAGGUAGCAUAAUCACUUGUUUUUUAAAUAAAGACUAGUAUGAAUGGCAAAACGAAAGCUUAACUGUCUCCACUGUCUGGCCAGUGAAGCUGAUCCCCCUGUCCAAAAGCAGGGAUAAAAAUGUAAGGCGAAAAGACCCUAUGGAGCUUAAAACACAGCGUCAACUAUGCACAUACCAACCAUAGAACAUGACCCCCAGUUUUCAGUUGGGGCGACUACGGAGAACAAAAAUCCUCCGCGAUCUUUACCAAGUUAUACAAAAAUAAGUAUCAAGACACUUGAAACAACUGAUCCAAUAAAAUUGAUCAACGAACCAAGCUACCCUAGGGAUAACAGCGCAAUCUUCUUACAGAGACCUUAUCUACAAGAAGGUUUACGACCUCGAUGUUGGAUCAGGAUACCCAGACAGCGCAGCCGCUGCCGCAGGUUUGUUUGUUCAACAAUUAAAAUCCU
rnacentral:rRNA from 1 species